UUUCCCCUGCCUAUCCUCAUUCCAUCAAAUUCUCCAUAAGCAUUAUCACCGGUACAGGUACAAUAGGACAUGUGGAUAUAUGGAUGCCCACAUGCCGAGGGGACCUAAUAUGGAUUCCACCUCACACUAUACGAACUCUAAUUAUUUAUUGUAAUCUACUGUAAUCUAUUGCAAACAACUAUUUGACAGAAGUGACUGCAGUCACAAGAUCAUAUGAACUCUCUUUCAAGUGCAAAAGGAAUGCUGGCCGCCACGAUGCUGAGUGCUUGUGCUGCUUCAAUUCAUUUAACAAGACUGAGCAAAGGAGCUUUGAGUCAGUGUUUCUGUUAGGUAGAGAGAGAAAAACCGACAAAGACAGUAUACAACAAACUAUUGAAGGAACACAUUUCUUAGAUAUUUGUAGCUGUUAACAAAUUAAGAAGAGCAGCAAACAUGUUUUUAGAA